CGGGUUUAUCAUUGCCAAACUCAAAAGCGUUUUGUAAGUUUGGCACUGUAUAGGCUCCAA
rnacentral:pre_miRNA from 1 species